CAUUUAUAUAUUUCGAACGUAAUCAUAAUUAUAUUUGAAUAUUAGGAAACCAAUGGCGUUUUUAAUAUUAUGAACAUGAACGAACUGAUUACAUAUUAGGUUAAAGUAGAUGUUCGCAAAGCCAUUAUUUUUCAAACUACACAAGACAACAUCUGAAUUAAUGGACUAGAAUUUAAAGGGGGAUUUACAUUCCAAGGGUGUAGCUAAAUCACCGGGUAGAAGUAUGGAACCUACACCCACUGUUAUGCAGUCCGGCAGAAGACAAACGACCUAUCCAACUUCGGACCCCACAGCGUGAUGCAUAUAGUUGAUUAAAAGCAUUUGGAUCCUGAAAUCUAACACAAUAUGAAUUCAUAAUGAACUAUAAAGUCAAGUUAUUGUGUUAAAAUUGAUUAUCUCAAUAGAUAUUCAAGUGCUAAAAAUCGUGCAUAAGACUCA